AUUCCUAUAGGAUCCUAUAGGAAUUCCUAUAGGAAUUCCUAUAGGAAUUCCUAUAGGAAUUCCUAUAGGAUCCUAUAGGAUUU